CACGUGCGUCCAACGGCACCAUCCAGAAAACGAACAAAUGUGAGAGUCACUUCUAAACUGGAAUUGACUUGAAAAUAUGUCUCAGGAGACCUGUUACCAAGAACCUUUGAGUGGGGAUGCGAGCCACCAUAUAUCAGAUCU